rnacentral:RNase_P_RNA from 1 species
GUCGCGCGUUCGGGCGUCAGCGUCCGGCGUGAGGAAAGUCCGGGCACCGCAGGGCAGGAUGCCAGCUAACGGCUGGGCGGCGAGCAAAAGGCCAGUCCUCCAAGGAGAACCGGGCACAUGCGAAGCCGACGGAAAGUGCCACAGAAACGAGACCGCUGCUUUUCGGCUUUGGCCGGUGGCAGCAAGGGUGAAACGGUGCGGUAAGAGCGCACCAGUCUUCUGGGAGACCAGAAGAGCUGGUAAACCCCAUCCGGUGCAAGGCCCGACAGUGGGGGAGGAGCGGC